rnacentral:rRNA from 1 species
UAAUACGAAGGGGGCUAGCGUUGCUCGGAAUUACUGGGCGUAAAGGGAGCGUAGGCGGACAGUUUAGUCAGAGGUGAAAGCCCAGGGCUCAACCUUGGAAUUGCCUUUGAUACUGACUGUCUUGAGUAUGGGAGAGGUAAGCGGAACUCCGAGUGUAGAGGUGAAAUUCGUAGAUAUUCGGAAGAACACCAGUGGCGAAGGCGGCUUACUGGCCCAUUACUGACGCUGAGGCUCGAAAGCGUGGGGAGCAAACAGG